rnacentral:rRNA from 1 species
UGGGGAAUUUUGGACAAUGGGCGAAAGCCUGAUCCAGCAAUGCCGCGUGUGUGAAGAAGGCCUUCGGGUUGUAAAGCACUUUUGUCCGGAAAGAAAUCCUUGGCUCUAAUACAGUCGGGGGAUGACGGUACCGGAAGAAUAAGCACCGGCUAACUACGUGCCAGCAGCCGCGGUAAUACGUAGGGUGCAAGCGUUAAUCGGAAUUACUGGGCGUAAAGCGUGCGCAGGCGGUUUGCUAAGACCGAUGUGAAAUCCCCGGGCUCAACCUGGGAACUGCAUUGGUGACUGGCAGGCUAGAGUAUGGCAGAGGGGGGUAGAAUUCCACGUGUAGCAGUGAAAUGCGUAGAGAUGUGGAGGAAUACCGAUGGCGAAGGCAGCCCCCUGGGCCAAUACUGACGCUCAUGCACGAAAGCGUGGGGGAGCAAAACAGGAUUAGAUACCCUGGUAGUCCACGCCCUAAAACGAUGUCAACUAGUUGUUGGGGGUUCAUUUCCUUAGUAACGUAGCUAACGCGUGAAGUUGACCGCCUGGGGAGUACGGUCGCAAGAUUAAAACUCAAAGGAAUUGACGGGGUCAUAGCUGUUUCCU